rnacentral:SRP_RNA from 1 species
UAUUUGGUCUCGCGCAAUGGGAAUCCACGAACCGUGUCAGGUCGGGAACGAAGCAGCACUAAGAGGAACUUCUCAUGUGCCGCGAGGGCGCCGGAUAGGC